rnacentral:rRNA from 1 species
CCUACGUGAGGCAGCAGUGAGGAAUAUUGGUCAAUGGACGAGAGUCUGAACCAGCCAAGUAGCGUGAAGGAUGACUGCCCUAUGGGUUGUAAACUUCUUUUAUAAAGGAAUAAAACGAGGCACGUGUGCCUUUUUGCGUGUACUUUAUGACUACGCAUCGGCUAACUCCGUGCCAGCAGCCGCGGUAAUACGGAGGAUCCGAGCGUUAUCCGGAUUUAUUGGGUUUAAAGGGUGCGUAGGCGGAUCGUUAAGUCAGUGGUCAAAUUGAGGGGCUCAACCCCUUCCCGCCAUUGAAACUGGCGGUCUUGAGUGGAAGAGAAGUAUGCGGAAUGCGUGGUGUAGCGGUGAAAUGCAUAGAUAUCACGCAGAACCCCGAUUGCGAAGGCAGCAGGCCGGCUUCCGACUGACGCUGAAGCACGAAAGCGUGGGGAUCGAACAGGAUUAGAGACCCGAGUAGUC